GAAAGGGUGCUUUUCUUUUAAAAAAGCAUCCUGUUGUAGCUUUCUUUCUAUGUACACAAUUAUAAAAUAUUUUAGUAGUAUAGACUUCAGUAGUAUACAUUUUCAUGGCUGUAACAACAGUAAGCGGUCUGCCAUCCCUGCUGAGAAAAAAAAAACAUAGAAACCCUUAUGUGUUUCUGUUUGUUUCCCGACAGUCUUGUAAUGUGUUUCAGCUUUUGUGAUGGUUUUAUAUCACAAUGUAAAGGAUCCUGAUGGUUGACCAGAUGACCAACGACUGAUUCAAAAUACAUUUAAUGAUUUCCUAAUUGUACCUAAAGGUGUUCUACAGGAAACUAGUGGUCUCUAUUGGAAACCAUUAAGCCCAUUCCCAUUAGAAAGCAAAAACAUAAGGUUUUAAUCCAAAUGGUCUCUAUUGGUCCUUUUCCAGCAGGGAUAUAAAGCAUUCUCCUGUCACUUUCUUUCUUUUGUGUCGACCAUGAAGUGGCUUUAGCAGUAUAUAUUUGCAAUCAGCAUGUACCUGUGCGAGUUACAUAGACGCAGAACCAGUGUAUCCAGAUGUAUAUUGGGUUACAUUUCCUGAGUUUUUUUUUUUUUUAAAAUCCAUGCCUUUGUUGCAAGCCUUCCCUCAAGAUUUUUCAGAAGUGCAAAGUGCAAACUAUAAUUGGUGAGAAACGCGACACGGUUAGUAUGUGGGAUUCGUGUGUGUAUUUCGUUGUCAGGAAACAGCAACGUGAAACUUGCACGAACAAACAAGUAGCGGUGUAUAUAAACUAUAUUAUCCUGUUUUAUUAUAUACGAGUCCUCGCAGUUUAGAAGAAUACCCGGACUGUGUGCACUGUGUAAAACAGCGAUUACUUUAUUGCUGAUUGACAUGAAUGUGAUCAUUUAACACGUUCUGUUAGUAAAGUAAAAGUGAAUUACAUCCGCUUUCGAGAAAAAGACGCACAAAGGUGUUUUUGGCCCUCAGCAAGGACUGAGAGACAACACUUCCUGCAAGGCAGCGCAGCUACCGCCCCGCCCAUGGACCCCACAGCCAACCACAAUGGACCUGAGCAGCUCUAUGCAAUGCAGCAUUCCAGCCAAUUAAACGCGAGAAUUGCGGGGAGCGGGAAAUUUCUCCUUCCCUCCAUCCUGCAGAAGGUGAGCAUCACAGACAGAGGCAUUUUCAAACAUUGAACUGAAAAUAGCGUUUUUAUGUCACUGAUAUGCUAUAUAAAUCAUAUCUUUGAGCAUGGAUUUGGUCUGUUAGUCAUGAGCUGCACCAAUGUUAUACCUCUGUUAGCAUUACUAGCUAGCUUAGUUAGCCAGCUAGACAAUGCUAAAGAAAAGCCUUAACACUGAACGCAGAUGGUCAAAUAAUUACAUCAAAUAUCAAGUGUGUUGAGAAAUAAGCAAAAAUGGUAAAUAAAUGGAGGCACAGCUGUGAUUGGUAGCUAAUUACAACUGGUCAACCAUUCUAUGAACCUCUAAGGCUGGUAGUAUUUGAUAGAUGCCUAAAAUACUCAUGUAGUACUAAAUACUGAUAGAUAAGAGCUAAGGUAAUGUAUUUAGCAGGAUCUUAACUAUCAAAGGGUUCCUACAAGACAUAAAAGCAGUGUUGAAUGCCCCCUCAUAUGUUGUUGAAUAUAGCUAGCCAUUGUCUAGAUAAAGAUGUUUUGCUAUAUUACAACUGUUCUACGCCUCAGAGGCUGUUAUCUAAUUCUAGAUGCAUGUAAGGCAGAUAAGUAGUAAAUGUUCUCAUUUAGAUAAAGAAGAUAUAACAACUGUUAAUGCCUUAGAAACUGUUGAUAAUUUUGAUAAAUUAGUUUACAGUAUGUUGCAAUGUUUUUCUAAGUAUAUCAUGCAUAGUGAUAGUGUUUAAGAAAACACUAUUAGUUGUAUUAACUAAUUAGUCCUAUAUAAUUGGAUUUAGUGCAGCAUAAUUUGUAAAACAAUAAAUUUAAUGAAUACAAAAUACAAAAAGUUCAUUAAAAUAAUCUUUACUGUGUUUUCUUUUCCUUAAACAGAACAAUGGCUCCCAGAAAAAAAAGGGUAAAAAGAUUGGUAGGUAUUGUCACCAAAAAGGUUUGUUGCACACAAUCAUUGCACAUAUGAAUUGUCCGAGACAUCUGAAAUUAGAACACAUUUGGAGUAGCAACUAAAUUUUUCUUAUUUCGUUUCUCUUUUAUAUUUAGUUUCCAGUCUUCAGAACCACAUUAGCACACAUGAAGUUGACCUGCCCAAAGCAAAGCAACAAGUGCACAAAGUGCUUAUCCACCCCCUUCCACAUACAGAAGUUUUAAGUGAAGACCUUCACUACUCUGGCAUUAGUAUGAACAAGGACCAUAACUCACACACAAAUCCAUGCCCCUACUCUACUGAGAGUAGAACAGAUACACUUACAGAUACAAAUGUUGUUUCUACUGAUUGCACAAAAACAUGCCAUACUGCUAACAUUUCAGUGGACAUUCCCACAUGUACAAACACAGCCCCCCUUGCUGACACAAAUGUACACCUUACUUCUGACACUAUUAUGGACAUACCAACAGACACAAAUGCAUUCCCUACCAACACAAACAUCAAGUCUGCCCCAAAGGACUCUACCUGUGUUUUUAAAGAGGUGGAAAGUAUCCUUCCAUUCAGUUUUGGGCGUAGGAAAACAAGGAAAGUACUUGUAAACCAAAUUAUUUUGGGGUUUAUUUGGUGCUUUUGAUGAAUAAAUACAAAACAAGUAAAUUAAUAGUUCAUAUUGUUGGUGUAAGAGUAUAUAAAAUGAUUAAGUUUUAAUGCGUUAUCUUGUUUAAUCUAACAUCUUUCUUUCCCAAUAAAGAUACCCAGUGUCAGUUGGAGAGGUCAGGCGAAGAGUUGGGCCACCAGAAAACAUGUCUUUGAACUCAAUGGUGGCCUAUUUACGUGUGGACAAAAAUAAAAAGAUGUGCCUUAAAAGCAUUGGAGUUCAACCAGGGCCAAGAACAUCAGUGACAUCAAUGUGCAGUAAACUGUCUGAGGGUGAGGCAAGAGACCUCAGCCAAAGUGUUGGCCGACUUGCUGCAAUCAACAUUAGGUUCUUGGAAGUAUCAAUGUUUGACCAUAGUAAUCCAGCAGUUGCAGUAGGAAAACUUCAUGAAUUCACGGACAUGCUGCAGAGGGCUGCAGACUCCAUAAAGCAAACAGUCAGGAUUUCAACUUGGCUUCACAUGGUUUGGGAUGGAGCAUGCUUGACAUGUACAUGAACAUUUUCAACAUUUCUUCAAGUGUGUAACCCAAGAAAUGGACAAGCUUCAGAGAAACAGGUUUUAACUGUACUGUUCACUUGAAAAAAAAUAGGUUAGUGAGUAUUUAUUUUUGUUUUAAACCAGUGUUCUAGUUAAUGUAGUGUACUAACACAUAGUUUGGUUGGUAUUACAAAAUGUAUUUGAAUUCAGUUAAAUAACAGUUAAAGCAGAAUGUAAUCUACAGAAACAAUUUUUGUUCUAUCACAAAUGUAAAGCUGCAUGUCAUUUGAAAAAAAAAACAUUUCUGUUUUAAAAAUUAUAUAUAAAUAUACUGAUCCUGAAAUUACACAGAAUAUACCUAGCUCAUAAACUGCAGAAUUACAACUGUUUUUCCUUUCAUUAGUUAAUAAACUGCUACACUUGAACAUCCUAUUUACCUGAGCAGUGUUCUGGUUUUGUACUUUUUUCCCCUCUUUAAAGAAUAGUCCUGGAACUUUGAAUCUGGCCUGUGUGUGUACACAGCAUGAUAACCUGUUAUUUUCAGUUUGUAGUUAUGCAUGUUAUGAACAGCACGUUUUGCAAGUUCAUUUUUUUGUCUGUAGUCAUGCAAUCUUGUAUUUUUUUUUUCUGGCUUGUCUUAACAUACUGCCCAAAUGCAAGCAUGCUGGACUGCAGUGUGUAUUUCCAGCACCUCUCUGUAGUCUGCACUCUCACACCAGUCCUUGAGAUCACAUAUCAUCUGUUUAACAGUUUUACAAUGGUUCGUGAAAAUUGACUGAUUUUCUUUUUGCAUGCUGCUGUCAGUUUGUGGCUCGGUAAGCCCAAACAGAAUCUCUGAUAGCCUCAAACAUAUACAUAUUUCUCCAAGGCUAUUUGCUAAGCGAGUACAUUGCUUAGCUUGCAAAUUAACAACUUCAAAUCUCCCUGAACUGUUCACAUAUAAAUGUUCUUUGUCCAAAUAAAAAAGCUGUUGUGCCAAUAAUGAGUGUGCUUCCUCUUUCCUAAUA